AUUGAACGCUGGCGGCAGGCUUAACACAUGCAAGUCGAGCGAGCGGCAGACGGGUGAGUAAUGUCUGUGACACUGCCUGAUGGAGGGGGAUAACUUCUGGAAACGGUUGCUAAUACCGCAUACCAUCAGAUGUGCACCUAUGGGCUUAGCUACUAGGUGGGGUAAUGGCUCACCUAGGCGACGAUCCCUAGCUGGUCUGCGAGGAUGACAGGCCACACUGGAACAGAGACACGGUCCAGCCUCCUACGGUAGGCAGCAGUGGGGAAUAGGGGACAAUGGGCGAAAGCCUGAUGCAGCCAUGCCGCGUGUGUGAAGAAGGCCUUCGGGUUGUAAAGCACUUUCAGCGAGGAGGCGUUACUCGCAGAAGAAGCACCGGCUAACUCCGUGCCAGCAGCCGCGGUAAUUC
rnacentral:rRNA from 1 species